GGUCUUGUGGCCCAAUGGAUAAGGCGUUUGACUACGAAUCAAGAGAUUCCAGGUUCGAUCCCUGGCAAGAUCA
rnacentral:tRNA from 1 species